AGGAAUAUUGGUCAAUGGACGCAAGUCUGAACCAGCCAUGCCGCGUGAAGGAUGAAGGUCCUCUGGAUUGUAAACUUCUUUUAUCUGGGACGAAAACGGGAUUUUUAUCUCAAUUGACGGUACCAGAGGAAUAAGCACCGGCUAACUCCGUGCCAGCAGCCGCGGUAAUACGGAGGGUGCGAGCGUUAUCCGGAUUUACUGGGUUUAAAGGGUGCGUAGGUGGGCUUAUAAGUCAGUGGUGAAAUCUCCGAGCUUAACUCGGAAACUGCCGUUGAUACUAUAGGUCUUGAAUUAUCUGGAGGUAAGCGGAAUAUGUCAUGUAGCGGUGAAAUGCUUAGAUAUGACAUAGAACACCAAUUGCGAAGGCAGCUUACUACAUAUAAAUUGACGCUGAGGCACGAAAGCGUGGGGAUCAAACA
rnacentral:rRNA from 1 species